rnacentral:rRNA from 1 species
AUGAACGCUGGCGGCGUGCCUAAUACAUGCAAGUCGAGCGAACGGACGAGAAGCUUGCUUCUCUGAUGUUAGCGGCGGACGGGUGAGUAACACGUGGAUAACCUACCUAUAAGACUGGGAUAACUUUGGGAAACCGGAGCUAAUACCGGAUGAUAUUUUGAACCGCAUGGUUCAAAAGUGAAAGACGGUCUUGCUGUCACUUAUAGAUGGAUCCGCGCUGCAUUAGCUAGUUGGUAAGGUAACGGCUUACCAAGGCAACGAUGCAUAGCCGACCUGAGAGGGUGAUCGGCCACACUGGAACUGAGACACGGUCCAGACUCCUACGGGAGGCAGCAGUAGGGAAUCUUCCGCAAUGGGCGAAAGCCUGACGGAGCAACGCCGCGUGAGUGAUGAAGGUCUUCGGAUCGUAAAACUCUGUUAUUAGGGAAGAACAUAUGUGUAAGUAACUGUGCACAUCUUGACGGUACCUAAUCAGAAAGCCACGGCUAACUACGUG